GACGAACGCUGGCGGCGUGCUUAACACAUGCAAGUCGAACGGAAAGGCCUCUUUCGGGGGGUACUCGAGUGGCGAACGGGUGAGUAACACGUGAGUAACCUGCCCUUGACUUUGGGAUAACUUCAGGAAACUGGGGCUAAUACCGGAUAGGAGCUCCUGCUGCAUGGUGGGGGUUGGAAAGUUUCGGCGGUUGGGGAUGGACUCGCGGCUUAUCAGCUUGUUGGUGGGGUAGUGGCUUACCAAGGCUUUGACGGGUAGCCGGCCUGAGGGGGUGACCGGCCACAUUGGGACUGAGAUACGGCCCAGACUCCUACGGGAGGCAGCAGGGGGGAAUAUUGCACAAUGGGUGGAAGCCUGAUGCAGCAACGCCGUGUGCGGGAUGACGGCCUUCGGGUUGUAAACCGCUUUCGCUCAUGACGAAGCUUUGUGUGACGGUAGUGGGUAAAGAAGCACCGGCUAACUACGUG
rnacentral:rRNA from 1 species